rnacentral:rRNA from 1 species
GACGAACGCUGGCGGCGUGCUUAACACAUGCAAGUCGAACGGAAAGGCCCUGCUUUUGUGGGGUGCUCGAGUGGCGAACGGGUGAGUAACACUUGAGUAACCUGCCCUUGACUUUGGGAUAACUUCAGGAAACUGGGGCUAAUACCGGAUAGGAGCUCCUGCUGCAUGGUGGGGGUUGGAAAGUUUCGGCGGUUGGGGAUGGACUCGCGGCUUAUCAGCUUGUUGGUGGGGUAGUGGCUUACCAAGGCUUUGACGGGUAGCCGGCCUGAGAGGGUGACCGGACCCAUUGGGAUGGAGCUGCGGCCCGGACCACACUGGUAGGCAACAGUGCGGAAGAGUGUACUAGGGGCUGAGGCAUAACGUAGUCAAGCAGUGUGCGGGAUGACGUGAAGGGGGUAGGAUACUGAUGUCGCCUUUCCCGAAGCGUGAGUGACGGUAACGGGUAAAGAAGCUCCGGCUAACUACGUG